UCACGGCCGCUGCUAACUGCCGCAUCACGCGGAAGAACCGAGACGGCUGGUUCCUCGGCCCUUCUCGACGCAGGAAGGCAUUUAGGUCCUCGUCGCACAGAGGCAUUACCAUAAAAAGGGACCUGAGUAUGUCGACUUCCUGGAUGGCGUGGUGAGUCAACAUAGUCCUUUUCACCGCCACUGCUUGGCCGUGUCGUUGGCCUCUAUAGACACGCCCAAAGCUGCCUUCUCCCAAGAUCUCCCCCAGGUGUAAAUGUUCCAUCUGAAACAUGUUAACUAGACACCUUUUGUCUUACGGAACACUGGUUCUGGUUGGCCGAGCAACUACAGUUAUUCAGAUCAACAGGUCAUAGACGACAGGUGAAACGACCUUAACAACGGUGAACGGACCGGAAAACUUCGGAGCCAACUUGGCGGCGAAACUGUCAACGGCAGAGGAUAAAGGACGGUCCCGGCGUAGAACUUUAUCUCCCACAUGGUAUCGGAUUUCUCUUCGUCGAAGAUUGUAGUGGUGA